GGCUCAGAAUCAACGCUGGCGGCGUGCCUAACACAUGCAAGUCGAACGAGAAAGGUAUCUUCGGAUGCUGAGUAGAGUGGCGAACGGGUGAGUAACGCGUGGAUGAUCUGCCUGAUAGUGGGGGAUAACCCGGGGAAACCCGGGCUAAUACCGCAUGAGCCCGCAAGGGGAAAGGAUUUAUUCGCUAACAGAGGAGUCCGCGUCCGAUUAGCUGGUUGGUAAGGUAAUGGCUUACCAAGGCUUCGAUCGGUAGCCGGUCUGAGAGGACGGACGGCCACACUGGGACUGAGACACGGCCCAGACUCCUACGGGAGGCAGCAGUGGGGAAUUUUGGGCAAUGGGCGCAAGCCUGACCCAGCAACGCCGCGUGGAGGAUGAAAGUUUUCGAAUUGUAAACUCCUGUCCGGAGGGACGAAGACAGUGACGGUACCUCUGGAGGAAGCCCCGGCUAACUCCGUGCCAGCAGCCGCGGUAAUACGGGGGGGGCAAGCGUUGUUCGGAAUUACUGGGCGUAAAGGGCGCGCAGGCGGCUUCGGAAGUUAUGGGUGAAAGCCCCCGGCUCAACUGGGGAAUGGCCUGUAAAACCACGGAGCUGGAGUGCUGGAGAGGGAAGUGGAAUUCCCAGUGUAGCGGUGAAAUGCGUAGAUAUUGGGAGGAACACCAGUGGCGAAGGCGGCUUCCUGGACAGACACUGACGCUGAGGCGCGAAAGCCAGGGGAGCGAACGGGAUUAGAUACCCCGGUAGUCCUGGCUGUAAACGAUGAAUACUUGAUGUGGG
rnacentral:rRNA from 1 species